UACAGAGGUCUCAAGCGUUGUUCGGAUUCAUUGGGCGUAAAGGGUGCGUAGGCGGCGUGGUAAGUCGGGUGUGAAAUCUCGGAGCUUAACUCCGAAACUGCGUUCGAUACUGCCGUGCUUGAGGACGGGAGAGGAGACUGGAAUUUACGGUGUAGCGGUGAAAUGCGUAGAUAUCGUAAGGAAGACCAGUGGCGAAGGCGGGUCUCUGGGCAGUACCUGACGCUGAGGCACGAAGGCCUGGGGAGCAAACGGG
rnacentral:rRNA from 1 species